rnacentral:sRNA from 1 species
AGUCGAUCCUCUCUCCUUCCCUUUCUUUUUCAUCAACACCCCGACGACGACGCCAGGCUACCCCCAUAGCUUCGCUGUCUCUCACCGUCAUUCAUGCCAGUCACCCGAUUGGCGAGGAAAAGAUACGGCCAAAGGUGUUUGAGAGCGAAACCUGCACAACGCAGCGUGUCUUGAGUACGCCUAGCUCUUACUCUUAGUGGGUGUGGCGUAAUUGGACAACGAAACAUCUCUAUACGAAUUAUGGACCAGAAUCUGGAAAAGAAAUGCGAUAAUUUGACUCAAGACACAUAGGGCAAAGCAAAUUCUCGAGGCGACGUUACAUAUGUGAGCGUUUCCUGCAGAUCUGUCAAUCCUACAUGGCGGUCCACAAAUGCUGUGAGCUCGUGACUCACCACUAACGCCCAUGCAACUUAAAUACGCUGCAUUCACUGUGUCCGGCAAACGGUGACAGAGCCCUAGGCUAUCACUGUGAGCAUGAUGAGGGAAAAAAAAAAAGUUGAAUGGGCAAGACGGAAUGCUUGGACAUGUGCGUACAAUCAAGCGGUCUGUAGGUGCGGUCGUGAAUGUAAGAAGACUUAGCAUUUGUUCACUUAUAGGUAAAUAUUUGAUUUUGACCUGGACGCACCACCUGUCUGAAAACUCAACGCUUGCAGGCUUAACAGUCAUAGCAUUGAUGAACGGAUCGCCACCAUCUUGCUCACGACAUCGAUAAAGCACUAGCGACAAAUCUGAGUGGUGGCAUAGUGAUGCUGCAGAUCGUUGUGCCUUGAGAAGCGAUCAUUGCGCAAGGAUAUAGAUCAUCGCAGCCUAUCGCUAUCCUUCCGUCACUACCUGAACUUCGGCUGUGGUGCUAUCGCUGUGCAUGACAGAGAGGUGUUGCACAGGACAGUCACAGCGCAUUUGCAUCUGCCACUGACAACCAGAAACCAGGGACCGUGGGCUUCGAAGGAACUGUUCAUUGUCAACGUCAACCGUUAAAACAUGUAACAAAAGACCAGCAGCAGUUGGCAUCUCCAUCAUUCAUCAUUUUUUCAUCGUCUAUAAACGUUUCAUGGUGACAAGAAAACUUUGAGGAGAAGGGCCUCAAAACUGUAUGGAGUUCGGCACCAUCCCGAGUGACCGAUUACAGUAUAGCCUUCAAUUUUCACUUUUCAUCCUCCGAACAUAUAAGUAACCGACCGAAGUCAGUGACCAUACAUACUCUCUAAUUCAUUACUUUAUCGCCAAAUUACAUCAUCAAAAGAUACUUAAAAGACAUACUAUCAUGAUGUUGCUGAGAAUGUCUCACUGUCUUUAUUUCAGGAAGUCUAUUUAAUCUAUGUUGAUCUAUACUCUAUAUGUGAAUCGAAAUGUUAUGUCGUGGUUGGUAAGAACAUGGUAAUUGUAUGAUAAGGGUGAAGGCAAGAUGUGGAGAUAUUGUGCUGAUGGCUUCUAGCACCGCAUAUAGCAGACGCCGCGAAUGGAAUAGCAAGAUGCCAACUUGGGGCCAGAGACUGUGGGUCGGCAGGUUAGCUACCUAACCCCAUAGUUCCACUAGACGAUUCGACAACACAUAAUUAUGAGAAAAAUGUGAUGAAGUGUGUGACACAUGACUGUAUUACACGUUCUGAACGGUAGCGUAAAUACCGUACAGUCCUCUUCAAGCCUGAUGGACACUUUUCACACCGCCUUCAAAGCACACAUCUUGAAACGUUGUUCGCAUUGCUGUCUGCAGUAAUAGUGCAUGUAUACCGGGGUAAGAGCCGCGUCGGCUGAUAAUGUCAUGAAGACGAGGACUAGAAGCAAAAGGAGUACCAAGAGGGGAGGAGAGAUGGAGGAUCGAUGCUUGGCGAAUAUCAUCGUAGGGUUUCCUGUCAUGCUGAUUAUUUGCCGAUUGUGAGAUGGUUGGUUCUGGAAAAUGUAGAUUGUGAGAGUGACGGACACAACAACAGCGAUUAUAGAAUACCCUACUUUUAUAUUGUUGGCAGAGAAAAUCCUUCACAGUUUCGUAUGUUAGUCUGACCAACCUAUCCACACUCCUCGCCUCGUCCAGACCAUUCUAUUUCCCAUCGACCUCUGCCUACAAUAGGUCAAAAAACUUCUAUCUUAGCAUCACAGCUAAUGCCCCCAACGGUCAAAGGGAUCAUGGCAGACCCCGAUCUCUCUCCCACUGGGCUUUUGCUACUAUAUACGACCUUGGGGCAAGCAGUGCGUAGGCGUUAGAUUGCAGUGCAUUUGUGGUCUCGAACUUGCAUGUUCCGAUCAGAUGUGAUGGAUCUUUCGGUUUGAUUGUCAUGUUGUGACAUUCGUUGUGAGAAAAGUUUUGAUGAAUUUGUCUGUGCGCUUGUGUUGAGAGAGAUAAUGGUCGAAGGUGAAUCCAUUAUUUCGUUAUUUCGCUGUUUUGUUGCUUGAGCUUCUUUG